rnacentral:lncRNA from 1 species
GUUUAUUUAUAGUUUAUGGCUGAAAAGUAUACUUAGGAAGAAAUGAAAAUCCUUUAUAAUGUUUGUCCUGAAAACUUAAAUCUUUUUAAUCAUGUGUACAAUUAGGGCAGGCAAAACAAUUUUUGUGUUAUGCCCUUGAAUAGUUCUUGCUCACCAGUCAUUUAAAUUGUGUAGCUUUAACUUCAGUUCCUGUCAUCACACAUUAGGAUGAAGAUGUGUGAUGGAUCUACCCAAGCAAGGCACUGUAGAACAUGUCGCACUGUUCUGCCACUGAGCAGAUGAGAAGCUGGGUAUUCAUCCACCACUGUCCAACUGUCAUUGACUGAAUGCUGUUUCCAGAAGGACUCACUCUCUUACUUUGCAUGUGAGCACAGAGUGUUCCCAUGUCAAUAUCAAAUUCCACUAUUUCUCAAACCCUAUCAUCCUAUCAUUCUGGUGGGUGUGCUCCGUAUUUCUGAAAAAGCCCUUUCUUUCCAAGGGCUUUUUUCAGGAUCUUCUGUGAGCUCAGCUUCUCCGGCUGGAAGUGCCAGGGAAUUACAUCACCAUAUUCCUUCUUUUGCUGGCGCUGCUGAUGGUAUCAAAAGUGGAACCUGAAGUGGGACAUCUAGCAACCCCCUGGAGCAUCGAAUGACCAGACAUAGGACCCACCAGGCCCAGAGUGUUCAUUGUUCUCACAAAUUGACUUGGGAUUGUGGGUACGUUUUCUCUUAAAUUCUGAAGCUCCCUGAAUUUCUGUUUUGAGUUCUUCCUUUAUAGGUGUUCUUGGGUGUAGACAAGGCUAUUUGGGAUCCAGAACGACUGAGGAAGACAGGAAGGGUACCUGUAGUUAUAGUUUCAAAAUUCUUUUCAGUAAUCUAAAAUGUUAAAGUCAUCUUAUGUUAAAGUAAGUAAUACAUAAUCAUAAAACAGCUGAGUCAUUUUUAGAUAAGUUAAAAUACUUAGCAUUAUUAAACAUAAAUAUAGGCUAAUAUACUUUGUUAUCUUAUUUUCACAUAAUAUGGAACAGCUACAUACAUUUAGCUUUGUUAAACAAAAAAAUUGAGAAACAUAUCUUUCAAAAAUUAUAAAGUGGUUUUUAUCUUCAAAUAGCGAUGUAAAAUAAUAAAAAGUUGCUUACUUCCUAGAGUUUUCAUGAGCAAUUAGAGAUACUAAGAGUUAAAGUUGUAGUUAUUAUAUGUAAUUAAAACUACUAGAUAUAAAGGAAACAAUUCUGAAUACAGAGUAUAUAAAAAUGGCAAGAUAUAUUUUUUGGUAAGAAAAGUUAUAAAGGCAUAAAAAUGUGCAUUUGUCAAGAACAUAUAAUUCUGUCCAGUUUAGAAGUUACUUAAAAGUCAUUUCAAAUUAAAAGAAUAAAAUAUAUAAAGGUAGACUUAAUAAAUAUAAAAAGUUGGAAAUUAUCUCAAUUAUGAGCAUUUUAAAAUAGUUUCCACAGUUAAUUCCUUAGCUUUGAUGCAUUUCCAGUAUAUUGUGGAAGCAUUCAAAUGUAUUUUAUAUUUCCUUCAAUGAAUUCUCCAGUUUUCGAAUUUCUAUUUAAUUCUUUUAAAGAAAUCUGCCUGUUUGGUUAAUUUUCUAUUUAUAUCUUAAAUUAUUAUUUUGACUUCUUUGUAUUGGUUUUCAGAAUUUUCUUGAAUCUCAUUGGGCUUCUCAAAAAUCAAUAUUUUGAAUUCUUUAGCUAGGAUUCUGAAAAUUCCCCUUUGAUUAAAGUUUAUCGCUGGAAAAUUUUUGUGUUUCUUUGGAGGUGUCAUAUUUCCUCAUUUCUUGUUUCCUGUGUCCUUACAUCGACAUUUGCACAUCUGGUAAGACUUUCCUGGAGAUACAUUUCAGUGUUAGUUGGGUGGCAUACUUCGCUUUGAUUCUGGGUGCAUACAAUAGUGUAGUCUCUGAUUUCUUUGACUGUAAACAGUGUUAGUGCUGCCUGCGAUUUCCUCAGUGGGUUGGGUGGCAGUUUUAGUGAAGGCUGUGGUAAAGCUGUGCUGGGGACUGUGAUGCCAGGUGGGCCAGUCUGGAGGCCAGUGGUGGCAGUGGUUGGCUGGGUGUGCGUAUCUUUGAGUCCCAGGGCAGGGUGUUCUGGUACCUGUGUUGAUAGCUACCAGCAGGCUGAUUCCGGGGCUUCCAGGUGACUUGCUUCAAUUCCAGCAGUGGCAGCAGUAGACUGAGCAGGGGGCCAAGUUUUCAGGCCCUUGGAAGCCAGCGUGGCAUGGACAAUGUCUGUAGUAGUGGUGAGAUGAUUCUCUGGCUCUGCAGCAGUGUGCACUGAUGUUGGUGGUGACUUGGAUGAGCUCAGCGGCCCAAGCUCA